UACGGAGGGGCUAGCGUUGUUCGGAAUUACUGGGCGUAAAGGGCUCGUAGGCGGCCAACUAAGUCAGACGUGAAAUCCCCCGGCUUAACCUGGAACUGCGUCUGAUACUGGACGGCUUGAGUAUGGAAGAGGGAUGUAGAAUUCCAGGUGUAGCGGUGAAAUGCGUAGAUAUCUGGAGGAAUACCGGUGGCGAAGGCGGCAUC
rnacentral:rRNA from 1 species